UUAGUGCAACUGUAUAAAAGGGAUUGAAGGAGGGAAAGAAGAGAAAGUUAUAUUUGAUUUUCUAUGAUUCAAGUUUUUAGGUUGUUUUCGGUAUGAUUUACUGAUUCUGGAUGGUUGGAUUGGAUUUACAGUAGUAGGAGAAUUACAAAAUGGUAUUAAGAAUAGGCCGUCCUGAACUGGAAAGAAAGGAGAAGAAGGAUAUUGAUGAAAGAACAGCUGGGUACUGAAGUUAACAACGUGAAUGACAUUCUUUGUCAUAACAGUACUUUAUUUUGUUUUUGCUUUAUUCUGUAACCUCUAUUGCUUAAUUAUGUAACCUCAUGUUGGUGACAAGGUUUUCUACCUUCCUCAAAGUCACUUGGAACAGGUUGAAGCAUACACUAAUCAAGAAUUUGAUAUACAAUUGCCAAAGCACAAUUUGCCUUCACAAAUUCUUUGUCGGGUUGUAUACAUGCAGUUAAAGG